rnacentral:tRNA from 1 species
GCGAGGAUGGCGGAAUUGGCAGACGCGCUAGACUUAGGAUCUAGUGUCUUCGACGUGAGGGUUCAACUCCCUCUCUUCGCACCA